GACGAACCGUGCGAACGUUGUUCGGAAUCACUGGGCUUAAAGGGCGCGUAGGCGGGCCCGCCAGUCCGGGGUGAAAUCGUCCGGCUCAACCGGACAAGAGCCCCGGAUACUGCGGGCCUGGAGGGGGGUAGGGGCAGGGGGAACUUCGGGUGGAGCGGUGAAAUGCGUAGAGAUCCGAAGGAACGCCGGUGGCGAAAGCGCCCUGCUGGACCCUUUCUGACGCUGAGGCGCGAAAGCCAGGGUAGCGAACGGG
rnacentral:rRNA from 1 species